UAUCUGGUUGAUCCUGCCAGUAGUCAUAUGCUUGUCUCAAAGAUUAAGCCAUGCAUGUCUAAGUACAAACCUUAAUACGGUGAAACCGCGAAUGGCUCAUUAAAUCAGCUAUGGUUCCUUAGAUCGUCUCAUCCUACUCGGAUAACUGUGGAAAAUCUAGAGCUAAUACGUGCUUACAAGCCCUGACCUCACGGGAGGGGCGCAUUUAUUAGAUCAAAACCAAUCGGGGCUUGCCCCGUCUGCUUGGUGACUCUGGAUAACUUUUGUGCUGAUCGCAUGGCCUCUGCGCUGGCGACGUAUCUUUCAAGUGUCUGCCCUAUCAACUUACGAUGGUAGGUGAUAUGCCUACCAUGGUUAUAACGGGUAACGGGGAAUCAGGGUUCGAUUCCGGAGAGGGAGCCUGAGAAACGGCUACCACAUCUAAGGAAGGCAGCAGGCGCGCAAAUUACCCACUCCCGGCACGGGGAGGUAGUGACGAAAAAUAACGAUACGGGACUCUUUUGAGGCCCCGUAAUUGGAAUGAGUACACUUUAAAUCCGUUAACAAGUAUCUAUUGGAGGGCAAGUCUGGUGCCAGCAGCCGCGGUAAUUCCAGCUCCAAUAGCGUAUAUUAAUGUUGCUGCAGUUAAAAAGCUCGUAGUUGGAUCUGAGGACUCGAAUUGGUGGUGCACCAUACGGUGUUACUGCCGAUUCGGCCUACCUAGUCGGUGCUCGCUCUUGGUGUUCUUAAUUGAAUGCCCUGAGUGCCCGGCAAGUUUACUUUGAAAAAAUUAGAGUGCUCAAAGCAGGCCAUUAGCCGGAAUACUUCAGCAUGGAAUAAUGGAAUAGGACUUCGGUUCUAUUUUGUUGGUUUUCGGAACCCGAGGUAAUGAUUAAGAGAGACAGACGGGGGCAUUCGUACUGCGGUGUUAGAGGUGAAAUUCUUGGAUCGCCGCAAGACGAACAACUGCGAAAGCAUUUGCCAAGAAUGUU
rnacentral:ncRNA from 1 species